rnacentral:rRNA from 1 species
GAGUUUGAUCCUGGCUCAGGAUGAACGCUAGCGGCAGGCUUAACACAUGCAAGUCGAGGGGUAACAGGGUGCUUGCACCGCUGACGACCGGCGCACGGGUGCGUAACGCGUAUACAAUCUACCUUGUACUAGGGGAUAGCCUUUAGAAAUGAAGAUUAAUACCCUAUGGUCUAUUUGAGUGGCAUCAUUUAAAUAGUAAAGAUUACGGUACAGGAUGAGUAUGCGUCCUAUUAGUUUGUUGGUAAGGUAACGGCUUACCAAGACUACGAUAGGUAGGGGCCCUGAGAGGGGGAUCCCCCACACUGGUACUGAGACACGGACCAGACUCCUACGGGAGGCAGCAGUGAGGAAUAUUGGACAAUGGGCGAGAGCCUGAUCCAGCCAUGCCGCGUGCAGGAAGACGGCCCUAUGGGUUGUAAACUGCUUUUAUACAGGAAGAAACACUCCCUCGUGAGGGAGCUUGACGGUACUGUAAGAAUAAAGACCGGCUAACUCCGUGCCAGCAGCCGCGGUAAUACGGAGGGUUCGAGCGUUAUCCGGAAUCAUUGGGUUUAAAGGGUUCGUAG